UACGAGUGCCUCAAGCGUUAUCCGGAAUCAUUGGGCGUAAAGGUUGUGUAGGUGGUUUUAUUAGUCUUUUGUUAAAUUCUUCGGCUUAACCGGGGGCAUGCAAAGGAAACGGUAAAACUAGAGGAUGCGAGGGGUCUGUGGAACUCAUAGUGUAGCGGUAAAAUGCGUUGAUAUUAUGGGGAACACCAAAAGCGAAAGGCAGCAGACUGGAGCACUCCUGACACUGAAACAAGAAAGCGUGGGUCGCGAAUGGG
rnacentral:rRNA from 1 species